AACCAAACUGACACAAAGAUGAUUUCUAACAAAUCUAAAACAUUUGGACUUACAUGUUACAAACUUCAAAGACAAUAAAUGAGGCUAGGUGUAGAAAAGGCAAGGCCAGACUAGAUAACAUAGAUGAUUCCUAACAGGUCUAAAACAUUUGGACUUGUAGAUUUACAAACUUCAAAGACAAUAAAUGAGGCUAGGUGUAGAAAAGG
rnacentral:misc_RNA from 1 species